rnacentral:rRNA from 1 species
GAUGAACGCUGGCGGCGUGCUUAACACAUGCAAGUCGAACGAAGCACUUUAUUUGAUUUCCUUCGGGACUGAUUAUUUUGUGACUGAGUGGCGGACGGGUGAGUAACGCGUGGGUAACCUGCCUUGUACAGGGGGAUAACAGUUGGAAACGGCUGCUAAUACCGCAUAAGCGCCCGGCAUCGCAUGAUGCAGUGUGAAAAACUCCGGUGGUAUAAGAUGGACCCGCGUUGGAUUAGCUAGUUGGUGAGGUAACGGCCCACCAAGGCGACGAUCCAUAGCCGACCUGAGAGGGUGACCGGCCACAUUGGGACUGAGACACGGCCCAAACUCCUACGGGAGGCAGCAGUGGGGAAUAUUGCACAAUGGGCGAAAGCCGGAUGCAGCGACGCCGCGGGAGCGAAGAAGUAUUUCGGUAGGUAAAGCUCUAUCAGCAGGGAAGAUAAUGACGGUACCGGACUAAGAAGCACCGGCGAAAUACGG